rnacentral:rRNA from 1 species
UACGGGGGGUGCGAGCGUUGUCCGGAAUCACUGGGCGUAAAGCGCACGUAGGCGGCGCUCUAAGUCGGAUGUGAAAUCCUUUGGCUCAACCAAAGAAGUGCAUUCGAAACUGGAGCGCUUGAGUACUUAAGAGGAUCGCGGAAUUCCCGGUGUAGAGGUGAAAUUCGUAGAUAUCGGGAGGAACACCAGUGGCGAAGGCGGCGAUCUGGGAAGAUACUGACGCUGAGGUGCGAAAGCGUGGGGAGCAAACAGG